GCUGUGGGAUCCCAACAAUUGCGAUCAUUUGCAACGAUCAUGCCAAGAUGAUAUCAACAAUUUUAAAUGUCGAACAUUCAUAAAAGCAUAAAAGCGUGCAUCCCCAGAUUCAAGGUAUGACUUUCGAAAUAUUCCUUUCGUCUGAUUCUCAGACUCAAAAACUGGGGCUAGUGUUACGAUGGUUAUCGUGAGUACCUCAGAUUAGCAUGCCAACCAUGGGAUAUCUC
rnacentral:lncRNA from 1 species